CACGGGGGGAGCAAGCGUUGUUCGGAAUCACUGGGCGUAAAGGGCGUGUAGGCGGUCAAGUAAGUGGAAUGUGAAAGCCCCCGGCUUACCCGGGGAUCUGCAUCCCAAACUGCUUGGCUUGAGUACGGGAGAGGAUAGGGGAAUUCCUGGUGUAGCGGUGAAAUGCGUAGAUAUCAGGAGGAACACCGGUGGCGAAGGCGCCUAUCUGGCCCGAUACUGACGCUGAGGCGCGAAAGCCAGUGGAGCAAACGGG
rnacentral:rRNA from 1 species